rfam:Candidatus Desantisbacteria bacterium CG1_02_38_46 cg1_0.2_scaffold_19017_c, whole genome shotgun sequence.
GCGCCUGUAGCUCAGAUGGAUAGAGCACCUGCCUACGAAGCAGGUUGUCGGGCGUUCGAAUCGCCCCAGGCGCG